rnacentral:rRNA from 1 species
AUACAGAGGGUGCGAGCGUUAAUCGGAAUUACUGGGCGUAAAGCGCGCGUAGGCGGCUUGGUCAGUCGGAUGUGAAAGCCCCGGGCUCAACCUGGGAAUUGCAUUCGAUACUGCCAGGCUAGAGUAUGGUAGAGGGAAGUGGAAUUCCGGGUGUAGCGGUGAAAUGCGUAGAUAUCCGGAGGAACACCAGUGGCGAAGGCGGCUUCCUGGACCAAUACUGACGCUGAGGUGCGAAAGCGUGGGGAGCAAACAGGAUUAGAUACCCUAGUAGUCC